rnacentral:rRNA from 1 species
UGGCGGCAAUAGCGCGGUGGUCCCACCUGACCCCAUGCCGAACUCAGAAGUGAAACGCCGUAGCGCCGAUGGUAGUGUGGGGUUUCCCCAUGCGAGAGUAGGACACUGCCAGGUA